rnacentral:rRNA from 1 species
UACGGAGGUGGCAAGCGUUGCUCGGAAUCACUGGGCGUAAAGGGCGCGUAGGCGGGGAGGUAAGUCGGGUGUGAAAUCCCUCGGCCCAACCGAGGAACUGCGCCCGAGACUGCUUCUCUUGAGUCCCGGAGAGGAAGAUGGAAUUCCUGGUGUAGCGGUGAAAUGUGUAGAGAUCGGGAGGAACACCGGUGGCGAAGGCGGUCUUCUGGACGGUGACUGACGCUGAGGCGCGAAAGCGUGGGGAGCAAACGGG